UACGAAGGUGGCAAGCGUUGUUCGGAUUUACUGGGCGUACAGGGAGCGUAGGCGGUUGGAUAAGCCCUCCGUGAAAUCUCCAGGCUUAACCUGGAAAGUGCAGAGGGGACUGUUCAGCUAGAGGAUGGGAGAGGAGCGCGGAAUUCCCGGUGUAGCGGUGAAAUGCGUAGAGAUCGGGAGGAAGGCCGGUGGCGAAGGCGGCGCUCUGGAACAUUUCUGACGCUGAGGCUCGAAAGCGUGGGGAGCGAACCGG
rnacentral:rRNA from 1 species